rnacentral:tRNA from 3 species
CGGGGUGUAGUUCAUCGGCAGAACGCACGGUUCGGGACCGUGAAGCAGGAGGUCCAAUUCCUCUCACCCCGACCA